GUCUACUUGAAAAAUCUUUUACUCAUCUACAAAAGCUAAUGAAAAAACUGCUAAAUAGAUUCAAAAUUUUGCCCUGAGUUUAAAAAUACCCAGUGUUUACAUGCUUUUUUGCUUUUUUUGCAAGUUAUAGGGCUAUAAGUACAAGUAGGAAAUUGCAGUUUCAAAACAUACAUUUUUAAAAUUUAUCAAUAGUGACAUUGUAACACUAUUAUCUGUCAUAAAUCUCUGAAUCACACCCCACAUGUACAUAUUUUUUUAAAGUAGACAACCCAGGGUAUUCAAUAUGGGGUAUGUCCAGUCUUUUUUAGUAGCCACUUAGUCACAAACACUAGCCAAAGUUAGCGUUCAUAUUUGUUUGAGUGUGAAAAAAAGUAAAAAAACUAAAUUAAACGCUAAUUUUGGCCAGUG